AACGAACGCUGGCGGCAUGCCUAACACAUGCAAGUCGAACGAGAACUUCGGGUCUAGUGGCGCACGGGUGCGUAACGCGUGGGAACCUGCCCUUAGGUUCGGAAUAACUCCCCGAAAGGGGUGCUAAUACCGGAUAAUGUCUUCGGACCAAAGAUUUAUCGCCUUUGGAUGGGCCCGCGUUGGAUUAGCUAGUUGGUAGGGUAAAAGCCUACCAAGGCGACGAUCCAUAGCUGGUCUGAGAGGAUGAUCAGCCACACUGGGACUGAGACACGGCCCAGACUCCUACGGGAGGCAGCAGUGGGGAAUAUUGGACAAUGGGCGGAAGCAUGAUCCAGCAAUGCCGCGUGAGUGAUGAAGGCCUUAGGGUUGUAAAGCUCUUUUAACCGGGAUGAUAAUGACAGUACCGGGAGAAUAAGCUCCGGCUAACUACGUG
rnacentral:rRNA from 1 species